GAUGGACCCGCGGUGCAUUAGCUAGUUGGUGAGGUAACGGCUCACCAAGGCCACGAUGCAUAGCCGACCUGAGAGGGUGAUCGGCCACACUGGGACUGAGACACGGCCCAGACUCCUACGGGAGGCAGCAGUAGGGAAUCUUCGGCAAUGGACGAAAGUCUGACCGAGCAACGCCGCGUGAGUGAAGAAGGUUUUCGGAUCGUAAAACUCUGUUGUUAGAGAAGAACAAGGACGUUAGUAACUGAACGUCCCCUGACGGUAUCUAACCAGAAAGCCACGGCUAACUACGUGCCAGCAGCCGCGGUAAUACGUAGGUGGCAAGCGUUGUCCGGAUUUAUUGGGCGUAAAGCGAGCGCAGGCGGUUUCUUAAGUCUGAUGUGAAAGCCCCCGGCUCAACCGGGGAGGGUCAUUGGAAACUGGGAGACUUGAGUGCAGAAGAGGAGAGUGGAAUUCCACGUGUAGCGGUGAAAUGCGUAGAUAUAUGGAGGAACACCAGUGGCGAAGGCGGCUCUCUGGUCUGUAACUGACGCUGAGGCUCGAAAGCGUGGGGAGCAAACAGGAUUAGAUA
rnacentral:rRNA from 1 species